GUUAGGUAAGAAUGAAAAUUAGGUAGGAUAUUAUUUGAAAAAAGGGAAAACUUCAAAAUCCCCCCCUGUGGUUUCGUGCAUUCUCACUUUAGUACCCUGUGGUGUAAAACGUAUCAAUUUGCCCCCGUGUGGUUUCAUUUUUAUCUUUUCGGAAGCUUUUUCGUUAAUAUUUCGUUAAAUUAUAUACAAAAAACUUCAGAUAACCAUCUAUGUUUAUCAAAUAUUCACUUUAGUAUCCUUUAAUUUUAAUUUUGUCACUGAUUUAAGAAAAAAAAUUAAUAAAAUUGAUAACAAAAAGAGAAAAACGAAAUCACUGGGGGGCAAAUUGAUACAUUUUAAACCACAGGGUACUAAAGUGAGAAAGUGCGAAACCACAAGGGGGGUUUUUGAAGUUUUCCCUUGAAAAUAUUUUGCAUCCAUAUCUGAUAUUAUUCGGAUUUAGUUGAGUAUGAAUAAUUUAGAGAGUGGAAAUUAUCCGAAUAAUGGAAAAAAAAUGAACAUAUAUGGAU
rnacentral:lncRNA from 1 species